GACGAACGCUGGCGGCGUGCCUAAUACAUGCAAGUCGAGCGAAGCGUCGGAUGGGUGAUUACCGCGUGGGUAACCUGCCCUUAAGUCUGGGAUACCAUUUGGACACAGCUGCUAAUACCGGAUACUAAAGGAUGGACCUGUGAUGCAUUAGCUAGUGGGUAAGGUAACGGCUUACCAAGGCGAGGAUGCAUAGCCGGGUUGAGAGACUGAUCGGCCACAUUGGGACUGAGACACGGCCCAAACUCCUACGGGAGGCAGCAGUGGGGAAUAUUGAACAAUGGGCGCAAGCCUGAUGCAGCCAUGCCGCGUGUAUGAAGAAGGCCUUCGGGUUGUAAAGUACUUUCAGCGAGGAGGCGUUACUCGCAGAAGAAGCACCGGCUAACUCCGUGCCAGCAGCCGCGGUAAUAC
rnacentral:rRNA from 1 species